rnacentral:tRNA from 2 species
GGGCGCGUAGCUCAGCUGGGAGAGCAUCUGCCUUACAAGCAGGAGGUCAUAGGUUCGAGCCCUAUCGCGCCCACCA